UACGUAGGGGGCAAGCGUUGUCCGGAAUUACUGGGCGUAAAGGGCUCGUAGGCGGCCAACUAAGUCAUACGUGAAAUCCCUCGGCUUAACCGGGGAACUGCGUCUGAUACUGGAUGGCUUGAGUUCGGGAGAGGGAUGCGGAAUUCCAGGUGUAGCGGUGAAAUGCGUAGAUAUCUGGAGGAACACCGGUGGCGAAGGCGGCAUCCUGGACCGAUACUGACGCUGAGGAGCGAAAGCCAGGGGAGCAAACGGG
rnacentral:rRNA from 1 species